AGUAGUUAAAUAAUUACUAGUACCUUCUGCUCAAUGUAUAGAUAAAUUGCCGCAAUAUUAAUUGCGCUAAGGUAGCAUAAUCACUUGUCUACUAAAUAUAGACUAGAAUGAAUGAAAAAAUGAGAUUAUAACUAUCUCCGGUAAGCUAAUAAAAACUUUUCUAAAGGUGAAGAAACCUUUAUAAAUCCGAGGGACAAGAAGACCCUAAAGAGCUUAAAUUAACAGUACUAAUAUUACUACCUAAAAUUUUUGUUGGGGCGACAAAGAAAUAAUAAACUGUCUUUUCUGCUAACGAUAAACAUAUCAUGAUAUAAAAGAUCCAUUUAGACUAUAAAUGAUUAAUGAAUAAAGCUACCUUAGGGAUAACAGACUAAUUAUUUUCCAAAGUUCAUAUUUAAAAAAAAGAUUAGCACCUCGAUGUUGGCUUAUAUUAUAUUUUUAGAGCAAAAACUAAAAUAAAAGGUUUGUUCAACCUUUAAUUAAUU
rnacentral:rRNA from 1 species